AUAAAGCUAUUUCACUUUCUGAAAACAAAUUGAAAACCCUAGCUAUCGACCUUGCUGUCUGUUCUUUCCACUCGUGGUGCGGCGCGACUAGAACGUGGAUUUUAAAUUAUCGCAGUUACGUUUCAAAGUUCAAGUUUCAGGUAAUUAAAGUUGGAGACGCGUAGAGGAUCGAAUGAGCGCGUCAAGUAAACUUUUUGAAAAGGGUGUUAUGUAGUAGUUGCACUUAAUAUAUUAUCUAAUGUUUUGCUUGUAUAGCUUCUGAGUCUCAAACUACUUUUGAGAUUGCUUAACUUAUCAAGUUUAAUAUUGUUAUAUUUUUCUCGUGACUUGUCGUAUUUUAAAUUCAAGUUUUAUAU